rnacentral:rRNA from 1 species
GACCUUCGGGAGCUUGCGACAGGUGCUGCAUGGCUGUCGUCAGCUCGUGUCGUGAGAUGUUCGGUUAAGUCCGCUAACGAGCGCAACCCUCGCUGUGUGUUACAAGUGUCACACGGGUACUGCCGGUCUUAAGCCGGAGGAAGGUGGGAUGACGUCAAGUCAGCAUGGCCUUUAUGUCCUGGGCUACACACACGCUACAAUGGCCAACACAAUAGGUUGCUAAGCCGCGAGGUGGAGCCAAUCCUCAAAGUUGGUCUCAGUUCAGAUUGCAGGCUGCAACCCGCCUGCAUGAAGAUGGAGUUGCUAGUAACCGCAGGUCAGCUAUACUGCGGUGAAUACGUUCCCGGGGCUU